GCCCAACAGUCCCAGCUACUCAGGAGGCUGAGUCGGGAGGAUCACUUGAGCCCAGGCGUUCUGGGAUAUAGUCUGCUAGCUAUGCCGACUGGGUGUCUGCACAUUAGAUAUCAAUACAGUAAUCUCCCAAGUGAAGGGGACGACCAGGUUACUUAAGAAGUGAACUGGCUCAGGUCAGAAAUGGAGCAGUUCAAAACUCCCAUGCUGAUCGGUAGUGGGGUCACACCAGUGAAUAGCUACUGCAUUCCAGACUGGGCAACAUACCAAGACUCUGUCUCUA
rnacentral:SRP_RNA from 1 species